rnacentral:lncRNA from 1 species
UACAUAUAUAUAUAUAAGCACACCCACAAUACAUAUGUAUUUAUUUUGCCAGCUGUGUUUUCUUAGAAAUGAUUUUUCUUUACUCUGAGAUACUUCCUACUUUUUUGUGUUAAAAUUAUCUUUCUUUUAUGAAAUUAUAAUAAUGAGGAUAAUAACAGCAUAUGCCAGGCACUGUGCUAUGUGCUUUGUCUGCAUUUAGCAGGUAAUUAAUGAGUACUUCUCAGGAGAGGCCUAUGACGUGAGUAUAGCCUUCAUCUCUAUUGUAAAGAGACUAAAGCUGAGGCACAGAGUAAUUAAGCAUCUUCUUUAAGGUCUGGAUACACUGUAGAGAUGUUUGAUACUAUAGCCUAAACCUUAUUGUUUUCUGGUGGUAGAGUGCUGUUAUUUUUUGUUAAUGCUCUUAGUUGGGAAAACUUGACUUGUCUUGAAAUCCUAACAUCUGAGAGCCACUAUACUCUCUUUUUUUGUUCACCGUAUCUGCUCAUGUGUUGCACAGAGGCCUGACGGAAGGGGCGGGGGGAAUGUGAGUGGGCUUCAGAAGCCCUAUCUGAACCACUACAUCAUCCAAGGGUCAACACAGUGAAGCACUGCAAAGGCAGGUAAAAUUCCAGUAUAGCCACAGAGCUGUCCACGAGGUCAUUGACCACAGGAACACAAGGGCCAAGGAGGGGCUUUGUGGCUCUCAUGAUACCACAAUGGGGUGUUAUCACAUUGCUGACACCAACCCCCUAGCAAAGAACACCACCUUCACCAUAAGAAAGCAAACCUUCCUGAAGCAGCACAUUCUGAGAAAAUACGGCUAUUGUCCAGGAAGCUAUUUCCAAAAGCCACUCCCAGCUGAGUGUCCUUGCCCCAGCUGGAAAGUCGGGUUAUUGUUUGGAUCAGCUUAUAAGAAUCCCAUGGGACUCUUCUGCUCUGUCUGAUAGUAGCAAUAGAACACGGGCUCUGGGAAGUAGGGUUUCUCAUGCUGCUACAUGCCUCACCUAAUAUCAAGGCAGUGUAUUCUUGACAAGUAUAAUGGUGUGAGUGUGAAAGGUUGAGUGGUCUCAAUUGGUCCAUGUUCUCCAGAAGUCUACCCUAAGAGAGCGAAGGUAUUCCAGGAGCAGCUUUUCCUAGAGCUGGGGCUUGAGGGGAAUUUGGAAACCACCUACCUCAUCCUGCCAGUACCAGAAGUACCUUUACACUAACCCACAAAACAAAUGAACCAAAACCAGAAUAUUGGUUCUCUAGUUACACACAAACAUGAAUCGUCAAACCAAACAGGUGUGCGUGUGUGUGUGUGUGUGCAUAAAAUGUCAGAAAAUCUUUCUAUUCAGUCAUCAUUCACAGGGGUCACAAAAAGGGCAAACAUACAUAAGCAAAUGCCUACAAGGUAUAUAUGUGAAAACGGUUCUUUGGUUUCUAGUUCUGCACUUUCUCCUGAAGAUCUACCUCUCUUUAUUCAAAUUUAGCUAUGCUGUUUUUCCUGUCACGCCAAUAAUGCACUCUUAAAACUGUUCUUUAGUGUUUACUUUUAUUCCACACCAAUAAUGCAUUCCUUGAAAUUGUUUUUUAAUAUUUUUAUUAUUAAUAGUAGCUCACAUUGACCAAGCUCCUACAAUGUGCCAGCCACCAUGCUAAGGAAUUUACACAUAUUAUCACAUUUAUUUAUUAUAACAGCUCCAUGAUGCAGGAACUAUAUUCUUAUCUUUUUUUUUUUUUUAUUUUCCCACUGUACAGCAAGGGGGUCAGGUUAUCCUUACAUGUAUACAUUGCAAUUACAGUUUCUUAUAGAUAAAGAAGUGAAGUUGAGGAUUUGUAACUUCCUUAAGGUCAGAGAGUCAGGAGCAGAGUUGAGAUUUAAAUUAAGCAGAUCUUUCUGACUCUAAGGUUUACUCCUAAGGUUUACUCUCUUUCCACUGCACCAAGCUCUCUCUUUUCAAGCAGGUGUUCUCCAAUAUGGUGUAAUUAUUGCACUUCUGCUUGUAACACAGCAGCUAUGGAGACAUCCUGCCAUCUCCCUGCCCCACAGUCUUAUUCAGCAAGGCAGCCCCGUCACAGGACCAAGCCCGGACUUUUGCUGCUCAGCACAUAUUGAUAAAUAUUCAAGAUCCAAGGCCUUAGAUGUCUCGUUCUCCCAGUUAAGUAGGUGAUAAGUAGGGGUUGGCAAAGUUUAUUCUCAAAAUUGCUUAAAGAAACAAAGUUUUCUCAUUUUGCAACCAUAGAGAAAGUUAGCUGAUAGAGCUGUAGUUUAUGAAUGCCUGUAUCACGUGGAAAGCAUCUUGAUUUUGGUGCUUUAGAUUUCUGUUAGUUCCCUGUUGGGCAUUCUGCUCUCAUGGUAGCAGAGUUGGACUCCAGAUCUGUAAAACCUAAGUAAAAUUUGGGUAAGCGGAGGAUUUCACUGAGUCGUGUUGACCUUGGCCUUCUUCCAGGCGCAAAAUGGAUUUCCUGAAAUGGUCCACACCUUUGGUCACAGAGGCAGAUAAUCUGGGUAAGAGGCUUGAGAAUUUUUGAUGAUGCUUAUGUCAUACUUAAAUGGAGGAUUUUACUUUAAGUUUGGAAAUAUAAUCUAAAAACAGAUUUUACAAUGCAUUUUGAAAUUCAUUUCAGCAAACAUUUAUUGAACAUGUGCUAUUUGUCAGACCUGUUUUACGUGCUGGAGAAAAGCAGUGAACAAAGCUGAUAAAAGUUCCCAUGCUCAUGGAUAUUAUGUCCUGCUGCAGGAAUACAGACAAUAAACAAUAAGUAAACUAUAUAUCAGAUGGUGUAAAUACUGUGGAGAAAAGAAAAGCAGCAAAGGGCAGUGAGGGGUGAUGGGGUGGGAUGGAUAUUGCAGUUUUUAAUAGAGUGAUCAGGAAAGGCCUUGCUGAGAGCGUGAAAUUUGAAAAAAGCUGGAGGAGUGACCCUGUGGGUACUGGAGGGAAGAAAAUUCCAGACAUAGGAAAUUCCAAACACCAAAGCCCAGAGAGGGUGCUGGGCAUGUUGGAGAGCUGGCGGGGUAACCAGUAUGGGCAAAGAGAGGAAUAAGAGGGUAAUAGGUAAGAGAGGUGAUAGGCACAUGUGGCCUCGUGGGCCAUGGUAUAAACUUUGGCUUCUGCUCUGUAUUGAAGAAGCCGCUGGAAAGUUUUAAAUAGAGAAAGUACUUCCUUAUUAACAGGGUUCUCUGGUUGCUGUGUUGAGAAUAGAUAUUAUUGGGACUAGUUGGUAAUAUUAGUAUAUUAGUUUUCUGUGCUAUGUAACAUAUUACUGUAAAGUUACUGGCUUAAAAUAAUACAUAUUUAUGAUCUCACAGUUUCUGUGAGUGAGGCACAACUAAGCUGGAUCCUCUCCAGGCAGGGGUCAGGAUAUCAGCCAAGUGAGUUCUCAUCUUCAAGUUCGACUGGGGAGGGGUCCACUUUCAAGCUCCCUCAGGUUGUUGACAGAGUUCAUUGUUUUGCAGCUAUAGGACGCCUGUUACUAUCUUCUUCAAAGCCUGCCAUGGUGAGAAAAGAGACAGAGAAAAGAGAGAAAGAGGGGAGAAAAGGAGAGAUACAGAUUCUAGAGCAAGUCUGUUAGCACAGCCAAAGUUGCCUUUUGAGGGUCCAGAUUCAAAGUUUAGUGAGAUACUAUAUUGCAGAGUUGAUAAAUGAAAUGAAGAGAACUUUCUUAUUUUGUGUGUCUUCUGAAUUCACCCUUAUGCAAAAUCACAUCACUCUUCCACAUUUUGGCCUCAAGUUCCACUGUAAAGCUGAGUUUGCUUAUUUCACAGGGUCACUCAAUAGCUCAACACAAAAGCUUUCAGCCACUGUUUCUGGUAGAGGCGUAAAGUAACCUGAACAUCUCUGACCCUGCCUCAGGCAAGGCUGGAAUUUUUGGGGGGUUGGUUUUUUGGGUUUUUUUGCUUUUUUUUUUUUCUUUUUAGGGCCACACUUGCAGCAUAUGGACGUUCCCAGGCUAGGGAUUGAAUUGCAGCUACAGCUGUCGGCCUACACCAUAGUCACAGCAACUCCAGAUCCGAUCCAUGUCAGUGACCUACACCACAGCUCAUGGCAACACUGGGUCCUUAACCCACUGAGCAAGGCCAGAGAUUGAAUCCACAACAUCAUAGUUCCUAGUCGGAUUCGUUUCCACUGUGCCAGGAUGGGAAACUCCAAGGCUGGAAUUGUUAUGAAGCCAUCUGGUUUUCUUUUUUUUUCUAUAACUUCUUGCCUUUCCACAUAAAACAAGUGUUGACUUUAGCAUCUCUGGAACUUGGUAGCAUUUCUGCCAUGCUCUCUUUGUUGAGGAAAUAAUACAUAACUUUAUUCAUUUGGCACUUUUGGUCAAGAACUUUCAUUUUGUCUUUCAGCAAUCCUAUUAGAUCAGCUAGCCCUCUCCUCUUCGUCUACACCUUUAAAUUCUCUACACCUUUAAAAUUUCUUAGAAAUAUUUUUUUAUUAGUCUGCAGGCUUAAUUACUUCAAGCCUACACCCCCAGCCUAGAAUCUGUAUGUAGAGACUGCUCUAGCUCCUAAAAGCUUUCCACAAACCACAGCUUCUUCUAUAGUUAAGAAAAUCUCUCUGACCCCACCCAUUUAUACUUCCUACUCCUCAAUCUGUUAUCCCCAUCACCAAUCAUAGCAUUAUUUAAUAUUUCCCAUAAACAUACAAGGCUCAAUAGACUCCACUAUGUCAAAACCACCACGAAGUCUGUGUCCUGAAAACUUCACAUUCUGAUGUCACUCUGGUUGUUGUUAACACAUUAGGACCAUAAUCCCACGUUGGUGAAGAGUGCAGUCCAGGAGGGCAGCGUCACUUCCAGAUAUUUUAGAAGGGGCCAUUUAGUCAUUUAGCUCAUGUGAGUCAGAAUUCGGAUCCUUCAUCAAACAGUCUUCAUGAAGUAGACCUGCUCCUGACACACUGAAGCUUCCCUUUAAAUCAAUGAGAGCCUGUGGGUUCUAUGAGUCAUCCUUUCCCAGGUUAUUAAGGCUUAGAUAGAGUUUUAAUAAAAGACAGUCAGUUAUAGCUAGUUCUCCACACCCUUCAUUUAGAAGUGUAUCACCCUAGAGUUUUCUACUUCCUGCCAUAAAGUCUUCCCAGUGGAGCUUACAGAAGCCCUACUGAAUGUACAAUUAGGCAUUCAAAUUGUGCUGGAUAAUAAAAAAGUUUAUAAUUGGUUCUUCAAGGAGUUUGAAGGAAAUGAGUAAACUAAAGGAUGUUGGCUUUCUGUUCACUCAGACUGACGUUUUUGAAUCAUGGCUUACUAUGGGCAAGGUUCUUAUUUUCUCUGAGUCUCAGUUUCCAUUUCUGUAAAACAAGGACAAUAAUAUACACUUAUGAUUCUUGGUAGAAUUAA